AUUGAACGCUGGCGGCAGGCCUAACACAUGCAAGUCGAGCGGAUGAAGGGAGCUUGCUCCUGGAUUCAGCGGCGGACGGGUGAGUAAUGCCUAGGAAUCUGCCUGGUAGUGGGGGAUAACGUCCGGAAACGGGCGCUAAUACCGCAUACGUCCUGAGGGAGAAAGUGGGGGAUCUUCGGACCUCACGCUAUCAGAUGAGCCUAGGUCGGAUUAGCUAGUUGGUGGGGUAAAGGCCUACCAAGGCGACGAUCCGUAACUGGUCUGAGAGGAUGAUCAGUCACACUGGGACUGAGACACGGUCCAGACUCCUACGGGAGGACGCAGUGGGGAAUAUUGGACAAUGGGGGGAAGCCUGAUCCAACCAUGCCGCGUGUGUUAAAAAGGUCUUCGGAUUUUAAAGCAAUUUUAGUUGGGAGGAAGGGCAGUAAGUUAAUACCUUGGUGUUUUGACGGUACCAACAGAAUAAGCACCGGCUAACUUCGUG
rnacentral:rRNA from 1 species